UUUUUAUUAACAACCUGUUUUAAGGCACAAUGAGUAGGAUUUUUCCUAAAAAAUAAAUGUAUAGACUCAAAAAUAAUCCCCUUCAAAC